rnacentral:rRNA from 1 species
UGUGCCUACGGGGGGCAGCAGUGGGGAAUAUUGCGCAAUGGGGGAAACCCUGACGCAGCAACGCCGCGUGCGGGAUGAAGGCUUUCGGGUUGUAAACCGCUUUCAGCAGGGAAGAUAGUGACGGUACCUGCAGAAGAAGCCCCGGCUAAAUACGUGCCAGCAGCCGCGGUAAUACGUAUGGGGCAAGCGUUAUCCGGAUUCACUGGGCGUAAAGGGAGCGCAGGCGGCAUGGCAAGUCUGAUGUGAAAACCCGGGGCCCAACCCCGGGAGUGCAUUGGAAACUGCCAGGCUGGAGUGUCGGAGGG